AUUGAACGCUGGCGGCAUGCUUUACACAUGCAAGUCGAACGGCAGCACGGGAGCAAUCCUGGUGGCGAGUGGCGAACGGGUGAGUAAUAUAUCGGAACAUGUCCGGAAGUGGGGGAUAACGUAGCGAAAGUUACGCUAAUACCGCAUAUGCCCUGAGGGGGAAAGGAGGGGAUCGUAAGACCUUUCGCUUUCGGAGUGGCCGAUAUCAGAUUAGCUAGUUGGUGAGGUAAAGGCUCACCAAGGCGACGAUCUGUAGCGGGUCUGAGAGGAUGAUCGGCCACACUGGGACUGGGACCCUGCCCAGACGCCUACGGGAGGCAGCAGUGGGGAAUUUUGGACAAUGGGCGCAAGCCUGAUCCAGCCAUGCCGCUUGAGUGAAGAAGGCCUUCGGGUUGUAAAGCUCUUUCAGCCGGAAAGAAAUUGCACUGAUUAAUACUCAGUGUAGAUGACGGUACCGGAAGAAGAAGCACCGGCUAACUACGUGCCAGCAGCCGCCGUAACAC
rnacentral:rRNA from 1 species